rnacentral:lncRNA from 1 species
AGUCAAUAUUGACUUAAAUGACAUAACAUUCAAAGGUACCAGUUUGUACUGAAAGAAACCAGGUGUUUUUUCUGCGCUUUGAAGUAUUUGGGGGUUGCAACUUGCUGGACAUUAAAAGGUACCAGUUUGUACUGAAAGAAAUCAGGUGGUUUUUUCUGAGCUUUGAAGUAUGUGGGGGUUGCAACUUGCUGGACAUUCAAAGGUACCAGUUUGUACUGAAAGAAACCAGAUGGUUUUUUUUAUAAGCAAUGAAAUAUGAAGGGGGGAUUAGUGUUAAGAAAAAUAGGGGCAGAAUUCAGAAAGGGAG